rnacentral:rRNA from 1 species
AGGUGAUAUAUUGAAAAAUGGUAUAUGUAAUUAAUAUUAUUUUAAGGAUUAUAAAUCAAAAUUUAUAAAUGAUAAAAAGAUUAACUAAAAAGUAAUCAAUCAUAAUCAUGAAAAUGAUAAAAAAUAAAAACAAGUGGAAUGAAACAUCUGAGUAACUUGUAAAAUAACCAACAGGGAUAAUAUAAGUAACGGUGAGUGAAAGUAUUAGAAUCUUAAAGUAUUACCAAGAGGUAAGAAUAAAGUAGUUUCCAACUACUAAGAAAAAAAAAUAAAUUUUAGAUUAAAGUACCGCAAGGGAAAGUAAGAAAAUAGAAUAAUAAAGAGCAAUCAUUGAAUGGUGUACCUCUUGUAUAAUGGGCCAGUGAGUUAUAUAUUUUAGUGAGAUUAAAUUCGAAUAUAAAUAGAAAUUAAUUAAAGUAUAUAGGCCCGAAAGCAAACGAUCUACACAUGUCCAAGUGUAUAUAAAACCUUAUAAGGUAUAUAUAUGACUCAAUAGGUAAUUGUAGCAAUAAUUUCUAAAGAGGUGUGUGUAGCUGUGACAGACAAAUCUGGUUUGCAGAUAGCUGGUUUUCUGCGAAAUAUAUUUUAGUAUAGCCUUUAUAAUCUGUUAAAUUAACAGACAUUUAAACUGGUACAGCACUUAAAUACCUUUGGGGAAUUAGAAUAUAAUUUUAUCAAAAUAUUUAAACCUCGGAAUCAGUGAAUAAUGAAAUAUAAGGAGUCAGACUUAUUGCGAUAAGGUAGUAAGUCGAGAAGGAAACAACCUAGACUAUUAAAUGAAUGUCCCAAAUAUUAAUUAAGUGAAUAAAAUCUAUCCUACUUUAAUUUUUAUCCCGCCCACCGAAGGUGGGCGGGGGAAAUAAUAUAUCCCCCCGCGAAGCGGGGGGGUUAAUUUUUAUAUAAAUAAAAAUCAAAAGUUAAAAUCUUAUGAUUUUACAUUAUUAUAUAUAAAUGCCGGCCGAAGGCCGGCAUUUAUAAACCUAAUCUUUUAGGCCAUAAUAUACGGGGUAUUAAAUUAUAGACAAUUAGUAAGUGGGUUUGACAAUAAUCAACUUUUAAUGAACAUGUAACAAUGCACUAAUUUUAUAUAUAUAUAUAUAAUUUUAUAUAUAUAUUUAUUAAUAAUAGAGAAAAUAUAUCGGGUCUAAAUUAAUAACAGUAUUAUAGAUAUAAUCAUAAAGAUUAUAUGGUAGCAGAAUAUAUAAUGAAAAAUUAUAAAGAGAUUGCUGGCUUGAGUAACGAUAGAUAAUAUAAGAUUAUCCCCUUAUUCAUAAGGUUUUACUAUAAACGAACGGUCCCUAAGAUUAAUAUAGAAAUAUAUAAUUAAUGGGUAAAAGAACAAGAAAAUAAAAAUGAACCGUACUGUAGACCGACACAGGUAUGAUAAAAAGGGAAUGGGAUAACUACUUUGAAUGAACUCGGCGUGCGACUUGAUAAGUCUUAAUUAAUAGUAUAACAUUUUGGUUAUAUUGUGUAUCUUCCACAUUUGUCUACUUAAACAUGCAUUAUAAGUAAUUAUUUUGUAUGAAGCUUUAAGGAAUAAGUUAUUUAUUAAAAUAACUUGACACGAUACUUAUGGUGAAUGAAAAUGAAUCGAAUGUUUGAACAAUCGUAAUUAUAUUAAUAUGGGCCCCCCUUCGGGGGCCCUUAUAAUACCCCCCUUCGGGGGGAUAUAUUAGGUAAUUGAUUUAAGUAUGUCGAGUGCUUAAAUGAAGAUCAAAUAAUACCAACGAUUGAUAAUUCGGCACCUAAAAGUUGAACUGAUAUUAAUUAAGGAACAAGGUAAGCCCAAUAUUUCUCAUAAAAAAAAAGAUAGAUAAUUUAUAUACCCGCCCACUUUAUGUGGGCGGGUUUUUAUCUUUAUUUAUGAGUAGUUUAUUAUAAAAUAAGUAAUUAUGGAAAUAUAAAUAUAUAAUAUUGGGUAAAAGAUAAUUGAAAAAGCAAAUGCUUAGUGGUAAUAACUAAGAUAGGAAUAAUUAUUCUAAUCCGAGAGGGUGCAGACUUCAAUUAGAUGACUCGCUAUUAAAAAUUAAUAGAGGUAACAAUAAAGGAAAAUAAACAUAAAAUAACCUUCACUAUGUGAGAGUUAUCUCGGUAAAAAAGCUGAGUAAAAAUUUAUGUAAAAGAUACUAUAAAGUUACUGAAUAAUUGGGAAAACCAAUGAAAAAGGAGUUGUUUGAGCCGUAUGCGAUGAAAGUCGCAUGUACGGUUCUGAACGGGGGAAAAUCUGUGAGGAUCUACCUAUCGUAAUAAAAUAAAUCGUGCGACUGUUUACCAAAAACAUAGCUUAUUGCAUACUAGUAAUAGUAAGUAUAAUAAGUGAUAUCUGCCCGGUGUUAGUUUAAUAAAUAUUAUUAUUGUUUAGAUAAUUUUAUAAAAGACUGAUAAACGGCGGUCUUAUUGUGAGGAUCCGAAGGUAGCGGUGCGACAAGUUAAGUUCAUAAUAAGAAUAAGGUGUAAAUCCUUUACAAUUGUCAUAUUUGUAAACCUAACUCAACAUGCAUUUUAAGUAAUUAUUUUGUAUGGAGCUUGAGUGACAACGGCUAUAAACUUUAACUGAUAUAAGUGAUCUAGUCUAGGUUAGAACAACAUGAUUAGUAUAAACUAAAUAGUGUAUUAAAAUCUCGUUAUAGGUAAGUAACUUGUUCAGUAUUUGGUUACUUUAUGAUUAAAAUAAUAUUGACGCUACGAAUAUUAUUAUAUGACUGAAAUAAAAAAUAUAAUCAUCGGGAUAUAGCUAUAAUCUAAAUUGUUCAUAAAGGUCUUAUUAUGGAAACUUGGUAAGCCUUAUACAUACCUAAUUUAAAUACCCCCGCAUAUGCGGGGUUAUAUUUAGGAAGUAAUAUAUAAUAUUAAUGAUCUCCCCGCCCACCUAUGGUGGGCGGGCUUUAUUUAAUAGAAAUUAUUAUAUAGUGUAGAAGGUAAAGGAUAAAUAUAAAAAGCUAAUGAUUUUAUGUAAUGUAAAAUAUAAAGUUAUUUAACUUAUUUCGAAAGAAAGCUGACUUAUAUAUAAGGCCAUUAAAAAAAAAAUAAUAUAACAUUAUAAAUAAACGGUUUCCUUUAAGGGGCCCAUGUUUAUAAAAAGUUAUAUUAUAUUUAAGAUAAAAUAAUCAAGAUGAAAUCUUGAUGAUUAGGGGGGCCGUAGGCCCCCCAUUAUACCUACUAUAUAAAAAAAAUAUAUAUCUAUUUUUUAUGGAUAUAAGUAUAAUAGGGAAAUCUUAAAAAAUGGUUUGAGCCGUAUGCGAUGAAAGUCGCACGUACGGUUCUUAAGGGGGGAAAGCUUGAGAGGGCCUACCUAUCCUAACAAAUUCAUUGACGUAUAAUUGACGUCCUGCAUGAAUGAAUAUACGAUGCGAUAACUGUAUCCAAAGUAGACUCAGUGAAAUAGCAAUUGCGGUGAAAUUAGUACUAUAAUAUAUCUAUAUUAUACGCCGGGUUGGUGAAAAUCCAACUUUAUAGUUAAAAUACCCCCGCUUCGCGGGGGGAUUUAAAAGUAUUAAUGAAUUAUAAAGAUGAAAUCUUAAUGAUUAUCCCCGCCCCUGAAAGGGGCGGGAUAUAUUAUCCGGUAUUAUCUGACAUAAUAAUUCAAAAAAAAAGAAUACAAUCGAAUAAUACUUAAUCCUUUAAAGGGCUAAAUAACCCCGCCCACCAAAGGUGGGCGGGGUUGAUUAAUCCUCGGCUACGCCGGAGGAUAAAUUACAAAAGGCAAAAUGUAAUUUAAUAACUAUAAAUAAAAAGGUGAAAACGGUUAAUGAUAUCUUAGUUAAAGACCGUCGGCAGUUGUAUAUGUCGCUACAGACUGGUUCACCGAGGUUAGACUGAAAUGUCUGUCUAAAUGUACAGUCGGAUUCUGUAAUAUAAUAGAUAAAUAUAUGAUAAAGAUAUAUUUAUUUUUUAUAUAAAGGUGAAAGAUAUAUCUAUUAUUUAGAUAUAACUUAUUAGUACAUAAGUAAGAAACCUUUGUAGGUCAAACCUACUUAAGUUAAUCAGAAUUGGAAGAUGCCGUAUAUCCGUAGGUUGACAAAAAGACCCUAUGCAGCUUUACUAUAUCUUUAUUUUGAUUUUUUAAUCAUAAUUUUAUUAUGAUUAACCCUUUUUUUAUUUAUUUCAGCAGAUUUUCCGCCGCAGGCGGAAGAUCAACCCCCCGCAAGGGGGGGGUAGAUUAGGUUAUAUUUAUAUUUUAAAUCAAAUGAGAUACCUAUAUAAAUAAAAAAAGAAUCUAAUUAAUAUAGUCAAAAUUCAAUAAAAAUUGAAUUGCCCUUAAAAAGGGUUAUUAAUAAACUAAUGACUUAAGUUUUAACUUAUUUAAGAAAGAGUAAAGAGGUUAGUUUCGAUGGGGCGUCGACAUCAGCGAAAGCAUCUGAUGUGUCUAAUAACAAAGAUCUUGAAUAUCAAGACUAAAUGUUUAAUUAAAUUAUUUAUUUAAUAGUAAAUAACGUACAAUAAUUCUAUAUGGUAAAUAGAAUAAAAAGAUAAGAUAGGAAUUACCUAUCUUUAAAUUUUAUCUUAUCCCCGCUAAGCUUAGCGGGGUAUAUAAGUAAGGAUAACAACAUAAUUGUGCGAUGAUAAUAACACAAACAAGUGGAAUUAGUACUUACGUAGAGUGUAGUGAACAGGCAUAAACAAAUGGUAUGGAUGUCGAUAACGGAUUAAAGUUACGCUAGGGAUUAAAUGUUAGUUCCUUUAUAUAAUAAAUUAUAUAUUAUCUCCGCGAUAGUGAGAUAGCCCUCUAAUGAGGGAAUAUUAAUUGGGUGAAUAACAAAAAACUCUUUAUCAAUAUAAAGACAAUUUGUAACGAAGUAUAUAUUAGUUUUAAUAAGAUAUAUAAACGUUCAACGACUAGUAAUUGAGUAAACUAACAAUAAUAUUACCACGAGCGCCCAAUACCUAAUUUACCCCCCGCCUGAAUAGGCGGGAUAUAAAAUGGGCCCCUUCGGGGCCCAUGAUUAUUUAAUUAAUCUUUAUAUUUUAUAUUUCUUUAAUGCCCCUUUGGGGUAUUUUAUAAUUUAAAUAAAAAUGAUUUUUUAUAUAUGGGCAUUAAGGUAAAGACAUAGUCUGAACUAUAUAGUGAUAUAUAGAAGUUGUAAUUAAAAAAGCAACAAUAACAAAAUUGAACAGGGUAAUACCGCGUGAGAGUUGAUAUCGUCAGCGGUGUUUGCCACCUCGAUGUCGUCUAGACUCGUCCUCCUGGUCGCAGCAACUAGGUAGGGUAGGACUGUUCGUCCUCUAAGGAGUUACUUGAGAUGGGUUAAUUACGACGUGAGUCAGUAAUGAUUUUAUCAUCUAUGGAUUUUUUUCUUAUCUGUUGCCUUAAGUGUACGCAAGGAUAAUAAGGUACAUUCCUAUGGUUAAUUAUUUAAUUUAGCUAAGAAUGUUGUGUUUACAUAUUGAAUGCAUAUCAAAUAUUAAAUCCUUCAGAUAAGUUUAUACAUUAUAGACUAUAAUGUUUUAGUUAAUUUGUGAUUUUCGCAUAUUUUCUAAUUUAUCCCCCGAAGGGGGUAUAUAAUAAGGGGCCUUCGGCCCCUCAUUUAUUUAUUUAUAAUACUUAUAUUAUAAAUUAAAAUACAUAUACCU